AAUCAACGCUGGCGGCGUGCCUCAGACAUGCAAGUCGAACGAUUAAAGCUCCCUUCGGGGAGUGCAUAAAGUGGCGCACGGGUGAGUAACACGUAAGUAAUCUACCCUCGAGUGGGGAAUAACGUCCGGAAACGGACGCUAAUACCGCAUAAUGCAGCGGCACCGCAAGGUGACAGUUGUUAAAGAUUUAUCGCUUGAGGAGGAGCUUGCGGCAGAUUAGCUAGUUGGUAAGGUAAUGGCUUACCAAGGCCGCGAUCUGUAACCGGUCUAAGAGGACGGUCGGUCACACUGACACUGAAUAACGGGUCAGACUCCUACGGGAGGCAGCAGUCGGGAAUUUUGGGCAAUGGGCGAAAGCCUGACCCAGCAACGCCGCGUGAAGGAUGAAGUAUUUCGGUAUGUAAACUUCGAAAGAAUGGGAAGAAUAAAUGACGGUACCAUUUAUAAGCUCCGGCUAACUACGUGCCAGCAGCCGCCGUAACAC
rnacentral:rRNA from 1 species